rnacentral:rRNA from 1 species
AUACGUAGGGGGCGAGCGUUGUCCGGAAUGAUUGGGCGUAAAGGGCGCGUAGGCGGCGCGGUAAGUCUGGAGUGAAAGUCCUGCUUUCAAGGUGGGAAUUGCUUUGGAUACUGCCGCGCUUGAGUGCAGGAGAGGUUAUCGGAAUUCCCGGUGUAGCGGUGAAAUGCGUAGAGAUCGGGAGGAACACCAGUGGCGAAGGUGGGUAACUGGACUGCAACUGACGCUGAGGCGCGAAAGUGUGGGGAGCAAACAGGAUUAGAUACCCUGGUAGUCCACACUGUAAACGAUGGAUACUAGGUGUAGGAGGUAUCGACCCCUUCUGUGCCGCAGUUAACACAAUAAGUAUCCCACCUGGGGAGUACGACCGCAAGGUUGAAACUCAAAGGAAUUGGCGGGG